ensembl:lncRNA
AAGGAAAUGGCAACCCACUCCAGUACUGUUGCCUAGAAAAUUCCAUGGAUGGAUGAGCCUGGUGGGCUACAGUCCAUGGGCUCACAAAGAGUCGGACACGACUGAGCGACUUCACUUUCACCACAUUAUUUAAGAACCAUGUCUUGGAACAGUCUAACUUUAGAAGUAAACCAUCUGAUGAAGCGACCACUCCCAUCAUGCGUCUGUGGCACGUGAAAUGUGACUCCUCUGCACUGAGAUGUAAUGUGGAAUGCAGCACGAGUCAGAUAUAUCCUUCUUGUCCUUCUUAUCGAUACCACAGCAGAGGAUCUCUGAAAUUAUGCAUCUUGGAACUUAUAGAGGUCAGCUGGUCCAUUUAACCCUCAACCUCUCUGGAGAGAGAAUGACCUUUGGUUUGGAAAGCAAAAUCACCCUGUUUGGGAAAAGGAGUUUUCACUUUGUUUCUAAUUGAGGAAGGACAGAGAGGAG